rnacentral:lncRNA from 1 species
UUUCUCAAUAUUACAGACGUGUUUUCUUGCUAUUUUCAAGGAGGUCUCUUCUUAUUAAUUUGGAACUUCAUUAAUUAAACAUGUUAAGCAUUAGAAGCCAAGUUUAUCUUAAUCAUUGGUGCUUAUCGCUGCUGCAUAGGCAAUAUAUUGCACGAUCUAAGGUUCACUUUUUGUUGGGUAAAGAGAUGUGAAUUGCUCUUAUCUAAGUAUUCUCUUUAUUUGGUUUCGCACACAAUUUUAGGUUGUUAAAGCUGUGUGAUCUGAAUUUCGUUUGAUCUGGUCUGAAAAAUUUGAGGUGCAAUUCACUUGUUAAAGAAAUAAGAUAGAUAGGUAAAAUUGGAGAUUUGUGGGGACCUUGCUGCACAACUUAAAUCUAUAUAGAAUUAUACUUCUUCCAUUAGACGAGUUGUUUAGUCCUUAAAAACCGUGCAUACCCGCAAACCUUUUGUAUUGUUGUUUUUCAACAUUAGAGAUUUUUU